rnacentral:rRNA from 1 species
CUACGGGUGGCAGCAGUGGGGAAUAUUGCACAAUGGGCGCAAGCCUGAUGCAGCCAUGCCGCGUGUAUGAAGAAGGCCUUCGGGUUGUAAAGUACUUUCAGCGGGGAGGAAGGGAGUAAAGUUAAUACCUUUGCUCAUUGACGUUACCCGCAGAAGAAGCACCGGCUAACUCCGUGCCAGCAGCCGCGGUAAUACGGAGGGUGCAAGCGUUAAUCGGAAUUACUGGGCGUAAAGCGCACGCAGGCGGUUUGUUAAGUCAGAUGUGAAAUCCCCGGGCUCAACCUGGGAACUGCAUCUGAUACUGGCCAGCUUGAGGCUCGUAGAGGGGGGUAGAAUUCCAGGUGUAGCGGUGAAAUGCGUAGAGAUCUGGAGGAAUACCGGUGGCGAAGGCGGCCCCCUGGACGAAGACUGACGCUCAGGUGCGAAAGCGUGGGGAGCAAACAGGAUUAGAUACCCGCGUAGUC